GGUGAACGCUGGCGGCGUGCCUAAGACAUGCAAGUCGAGCGGGGCAGGUUUAUACCUGUUCAGCGGCGGACGGGUGAGUAACGCGUGGGUGACCUACCCGGAAGAGGCGGACAACCUGGGGAAACCCAGGCUAAUCCGCCAUGUGGUCCUGUCCUGUGGGGCAGGACUAAAGGGUGGAUAGCCCGCUUCCGGAUGGGCCCGCGUCCCAUCAGCUAGUUGGUGGGGUAAAGGCCCACCAAGGCGACGACGGGUAGCCGGUCUGAGAGGAUGGCCGGCCACAGGGGGACUGGGACACGGGCGCCAGUCCUACGGGAGGCAGCAGUUAGGAAUCUUCCGCAAUGGGCGCAAGCCUGACGGAGCGACGCCGCUUGGAGGAGGAAGCCCUUCGGGGUGUAAACUCCUGAACUGGGGACGAAGGCACCGUGUAGGGGGAUGACGGUACCCAGGUAAUAGCGCCGGCCAACUCCGUG
rnacentral:rRNA from 1 species